rnacentral:rRNA from 1 species
AGCGAACGCUGGCGGCAGGCUUAACACAUGCAAGUCGAACGGCAGCACAGUAAGUGCUUGCUCUUAUGGGUGGCGAGUGGCGGACGGGAGAGGAAUACAUCGGACUCUACUUUUUCGUGGGGGAUAACGAAGGGAAACUUACGACAAUAUCGCAUAUGAUCUACGGGUGAAAGCAGGGGAUCUUUGGACCUUGUGCGAUUGAACGCGCCGAUGUGGGAUUAGUUAGUUGGCGGGGUACAGGCCCACCAUGGCGACGAUCCGUAGCUGGUCGGAGAGGAUGGUCGGCCGCACUGGAGCUGGGACACCGUCCAGACUCCUACGAGAGGCAGCAGAGGGGAAUAUUAGGCAGUGGGCGCGAGCCUUGUCCAGCCGUACCACGUGUGUUGAGAAAACCUUCGGGUUGUGAAGCCCGUUUGUGGGGAAAAAAAAGCAUCAGGUUAAGACCCCGCUGUUCUGACGGUACCCGGAGAAGAAGCACCGGCUAACUACGUG